rnacentral:tRNA from 1 species
UACAAGAUGCCUGAUAAAAAAGGGUUAUCUUGAUAGGAUAAAUCAUGUAAUAAUUUACUCUUGUUA